AUGGACCCGGAGCCGCAGCGGUGGGCGGCGACGUACACCACGCAGCUGAGGCAGAAGCGCAAGGCCUACCACGACGGGGUCCUCCUCCUCCGCCCGGACUCCCGCCGCCUCGUCCUCCUCGACGACGCCGGCGUCACCAUCGACGCCAGGUCCCUCCGCGCCGGCGAGUCCGUGUCCGAGGGCGCCUCCGUCGAGUUCCCCUGCCACCUCGUCGACGUCGGCGAGGCCCAGCGCGUCCCCACCACCGCCCGCCCCGGAAGGCCCUCCGAGCCCGCCGCUCCCAGGACCGCCUACCGCGGCGGCGCCAGGGCGCGUCACAGCGCGGCCAGCACCUGCGCUCCCCGCGCGUUCGUGAACCCACCCAAGAGCGGCGCCGGCAAGACUGAAGCCGCGGGCUCUGGCUGUGCCAGGCCUGCCGGUUCGACGUCCCAAGAGUGGAGCGCGAUGUACACCACCCAGGUUUCGCAGAAGGCUAAGAGGUAUCACGACGGCUUCGUGAAGCUCGUUCAAUCUGGGUUGUACUCCAAGCAGAUCGUGUUGCUGGAUGAAGAGGGCCAAGUACUGGGGACCAGGCACCUCAAGUCAGGGGAGUGUGUGGAAAGCGGCAAGAAAUGCAGUUUUCCUGGCUAUCUGAUUGAGAUCGGCGAGGCCACAAAUCUAAACAAAGGUGGAGAACCUAAAUCUUCAGAAGAAUCCAUGGUGCAAACAAGACCGAAGAGAGUCGAGAAUGCGAAUAGCAAAAUGGGAAUUGGCACAACAAGUUCCCUGAAAUUCAUCAGUCCACAGAAGUUCCAUUGUUUUGACGAGAGUAAAUCAGAAGCCACGUCUAGUUUUAACAAGCCAGAGCUUGGAAAGAGUGAAAUUGCAGCUGCUGGCAGCACAGGGAGCCUUAUGGGUUCAGCAGACUCAAGUUUCAAAGAAAUAGAAUGGAGUGUCUUAUACACUGCCCAACUAUUUCAGAAGGCAAAGAAGUUUCAUGAUGGUGUUAUAAGGCUUGUGCAAGCUGGUCCAAAUGUAAAGCAGAUUCUUUUACUGGAUGAAGAAGGUGGAAUGCUUGGCACCCGAUUUUUCAAUUCAGGUGAAUCUAUUGAAUGUGGAAAGAGAUGUCAGUUUCCUAAUUAUAUUAUCGAAGUCACUGAGCUCAGAAAUAAAAUGAAAGAUGUAGAACAUACACAUGCUGCUGGGGAGGCUUCAAGUCACACAGUGCCUAAGAGUGGAGAGAAUACGCGUGAAAAGAAGGAUGACAAAAAUCAUCGGAAGAGUAAAACAAGAAGCACUACUGACUCUAACAAUCCACUGGUUGGAAAAUCAGCAUGUAGUAACAUGGGCGAUCCACUUAACUUUCAUGUAUUUACGGAUCUCCAGAGGGAUAAACCAGAUUGCACUGUUGGUUACAGAAGAACAGACCCAGGGUCAACAUCUAGUGACAUCGAUAAUCAACAUAAAUUCAAUGAUUUUGCAGAUAACCAGAGGGGCACAUCAGAAUUUUCUACCGGCUAUAGCCGGCUAGAAGUUGGCAAAUCAACAUUUAAUGACCUGGGAAAAUCAACAUUUGGUGGCAUGGAUGAUCCACAUAAACUUGAUGGUUUUGCAGACACCCAGAGGGGUACAUCAGGAUUUUCUACCAGCUAUAACCGGCCAGAAGUUGGCAAACCAACAUUUAAUGACCUGGGAAAAUCAACAUUUAGUGGCAUGGAUGAUCCACAUAAAUUCGAUGAUAUCCAGAGGGGUAAAUCAGGAUUUUCUACCAGCUAUAACCGGCCAGAAGUUGACAAAUCAACUCUUAAUAGAAUGGAUGAUCCACUAAAAUUUUGUGGUCUUCAGGAUGGCAAAUCAGUGUGUCCCACUAGUUUUGUCAGGAGAGAGGUUGGAAAAUCAACAUUUGGCAAUGCUGAUGAUUCUUUACGGACUGCUUCCCAAAUACUAUCUAUCAUGAAGCCCCCAGCUGGAUUGUCUCACUUUGCUACCCAGCUCCGUACAUCAGUGCAAUCUUGCUUGAAGCUGGAUACUGCACAUGCAAAGAACUCAGCAAUCACUCAUAAUAGGAAUGAAUUAUCAGGGAAUGCUUAUCCAACUUACAAUCAUCAGGUCAUCAUGAAACCACCAGCUUUUGAUGCUUUGGACUUGGAAUUGAUAGAUCUCCCAGGAUCUGAGAUGUGCAAUGCAAACGAGCAGAAACUAGAAUCGUCAGGCAAUCUUAACACUGUAAACUGUAAUGGUACAGGUUCUGCGCCAAUUUCGAAUGUCACUAGCAUGCCAAACUUGCGAGAAGACAAAAGCGGAACUGCAGAUCAGCUCGGUGCAAAUAACACAGCAGAGGACCCCAAAUAUGACAGUGGCCCUUCUCGUACAUGUAGAGAUCCCACGAUCCAGGAUUUGAUAGAUGACUGCCCUUCUUUUGAUCUUGGCUUCUAA
rnacentral:rRNA from 1 species